GUGCUUGUUUUGGCAGCACAUUACUAAAAUUGGAAUGAUACAGAGAUUAGCAUGGCCCCUGCACAAGGAUGACAUGCAAAUUUGUGAAGCAUUUCAUAUUUUAAAAAAGAAAAG
rnacentral:snRNA from 1 species